rnacentral:misc_RNA from 1 species
GGAAGGAUCAUUAUUCUGCUACAAAAACUCUUCUUUAAAGAAGGGCUUGGGGGGACUAACCAUCUAAUGGAGAGACUUCCUCGGGCCUUUCUUUAUCGAACCUCAAGUUAACUUUUAUCAUAAAAAGUCGACUUAAAGUGCCAAUUUCCAUUUCUUCGCGGGGAGGCAGCCGCGUUACCAAGGACGUCUGAAUGGUCGGUAAGGUAAAAGUUUCUCUUCGCGGGGAAACCUUCACCGAGCCAAUUAUGGCCAAUUUUGAAGAAAAAGGGAGUCGGGGUUCGUCCUCUUCCCCCUUUUUCGACAAAGGAAACUCACGAUAAAUCGAACAUGAAUUUGUCUUCUUUUACACUAAAGAAAGGCUUCUUCUUUCGAGGAGAGCUUUGAUUAACGUAAAAUACAACUCAUGACGGUGGAUUUCUAGGCUCGUGUACCGAUGAAGGACGUAGCAAACUACGAUAACUAAUGUGAAUUGCAAAAUACGUGAAUCAUUGAAUCUUUGAAUGCACACUGCACCGAGGGUCUAAUAACCUUCGGUCUAUCCGGUCGAGUGCCGAUUCUAUCCUCAACCCUAAAAAACACUAGCGGUUGGAUAUUGAGGCGUGGAGUCCCUCUCUUUACGGGAGAGCUCCUCUCUCUAAGUCGAUAGAAUGGCGAAAUUCAGUUUUCGCAAGUCCCGCUCUUUGGGGUCAAACGGAGAAGACCACCGCAUAAAAAAGGGCUAUGGACGAGUUCGUUGCUACAUCUUGCGGGAUUCACGUUCCGCAUGAUGGUCGGCAAGUCUCAGGAAAUUCAGUACUCCUCUUGGGUCAAACGGGAAGGAGGAAAGGAUUAUUUACUAGUCCCUCACUGAAAACCUGUCAAGACGGGGAAGUGAUUCCUUUGUUAGACGGGGAGGGGCUUUGAUUCUUUCCGUAGAUAUCCCUGAUGAUACGAUUCGCUUUGAUUUUCGAAAGAAAGGAUGAGAGGCGGAGCGGCUCUUUUUAAAGAAAGAGAGGGAGGUUGUGCUGUUGAGGCUUGUUCGAUGGUCGACGAACCAAUCAAAAAAAAAAGGGGAGCAAAUGCGUCUCUCUUUUAACGGCCUCGGCUCGGGUAGGAUUACCCGCUGAACUUAAGCAUAUUAUUAGGCGGAGGAAAAGAAAUUAACUAAGAUUCCUUCAGUAACUGCGAGUGAACCAGGAAAUAGCCCAGCCCUGAAUCGGUGGGGAUUCGUCUUUUACCGACGUGUGGGGUUCGUUGGGGUUGGUCAGGCUCUUAAGUGGUACCGAAGUCAUCCUGGAAAGGUGUGCCAUAGAGGGUGAUAGUCCCGUAGGAAUUGCUUGAGAGUCAGACUGAUCUCGACUAGAGUCGAGCUGUUUGGGAGUACAGCUCUAAUGGGUGAUAAAUUUCAUCCAAGGCUAAAUAUUAACACGAGACCGAUAGCGAACAAGUACCGCGAGGGAAAGAUGCAAAGAACUCUGAAAAGAGAGUUAAAAGUACAUGAAACCGUCAUGAGGUAAAGCGGUGGCCAGGGUACUUUCCUCUGGUUGAGGGAUCAACUUACGGGAGUUUCAAGGCGUUCGUUCAUGGGUGUUCGUAAGGGCAUCUUGGGCGGAUGUUUAUGGGAUUUCUGUGAGGGUAUUCCCUUGAUUGGAGGGUCACUGUGUGUUCUGUUCGAUUUUGAAGGUUUGGUAGUUGUCCUCGGACGAUGAAAGGCUUUAGAGAUUGGACGGGACACAGGUUUCCUCAUUCUGAGGAGAACGGGUAGCGCUCAGCUCUUAAGGAUGCUACCCCCGACAGUGAUUUUCACGGUACCAUGGUUACUGACCCGUCUUGAAACACGGACCAAGGAGUCUAUCAGGCGUGCGAGUUCGAGAGUGCGUUAAACUCAAGGGCGUAAUGAAAGUAACAGGUGUGAUAUCCGUUAAGGAUUGCAACACCGGCCGACUCGGAUCACUCGUGGUCUAGGGUCGAGCUGGAGCAUGGCUAAUAGAACCCGAAAGGUGGCGAACUAUGCCCGUACAGGAUGAAGCCAGGAGAAAUCCUGGUGGAGGUCCGUAGCGGUAUUGACGUGCAAAUCAUUCGUCAGAUGCGGGUAUAGCGGCGAAAGACCAAUCGAGCCGCCUAGUAGCUGGUUCCUUC